rnacentral:tRNA from 1 species
GCUGGCGUAGCUCAAUGGUAGAGCAACUGAUUUGUAAUCAGUAGGUUGCAGGUUCAACUCCAGUCGCCAGCUCCA